rnacentral:rRNA from 1 species
GACGAACGCUGGCGGCGUGCCUAAUACAUGCAAGUAGAACGCACAGUUUAUACCGUAGCUUGCUACACCAUAGACUGUGAGUUGCGAACGGGUGAGUAACGCGUAGGUAACCUGCCUGGUAGCGGGGGAUAACUAUUGGAAACGAUAGCUAAUACCGCAUAAUAUUGAUUAUUGCAUGAUAACUAAUUGAAAGGUGCAAUUGCACCACUACCAGAUGGACCUGCGUUGUAUUAGCUAGUAGGUGAGGUAACGGCUCACCUAGGCGACGAUACAUAGCCGACCUGAGAGGGUGAUCGGCCACACUGGGACUGAGACACGGCCCAGACUCCUACGGGAGGCAGCAGUAGGGAAUCUUCGGCAAUGGACGAAAGUCUGACCGAGCAACGCCGCGUGAGUGAAGAAGGUUUUCGGAUCGUAAAGCUCUGUUGUAAGAGAAGAACGGGUGUGAGAGUGGAAAGUUCACACUGUGACGGUAUCUUACCAGAAAGGGACGGCUAACUACGUG